UACAGAGGUGGCAAGCGUUGUUCGGAAUUACUGGGCGUAAAGGGCGCGUAGGCGGCCUUCUAAGUCAGACGUGAAAUCCCCCGGCUUAACCUGGGAACUGCGUCUGAUACUGGGAGGCUUGAGUAUGGGAGAGGGAUGUAGAAUUCCAGGUGUAGCGGUGAAAUGCGUAGAUAUCUGGAGGAACACCGGUGGCGAAGGCGGGUCUCUGGGCCGAUACUGACGCUGAGGAGCGAAAGCGUGGGGAGCGAACAGG
rnacentral:rRNA from 1 species